CAGAAGCAAAGCUGAAGUCCAAGAACAAUGCUUAGCUGUUUGCAGAAGACCCAUGCUCAUGGCAUGGGUGUGGGCAUGGGAGAGCUGGUACCACUCCCUCACCUGGGCAGCAUAGGAGAGCUGGCCCUAAGGGUGAGAGCUGGUUCCACCCUUCCCCUUGCCACCUACAUACACUAGAGAGCUGGUCCUGAGAAGGGGGUAGUUGGCACCCUUUGACAAGUGCAGCAGUCAGGAGAAUCCCCAAACCUUGCUUGGACAGUACAGUAGAACUAGCCCAGUGGUGUGGGUGAGGGAGAACUAUCCUUGAUGACACACGUAUAGGAGAGUUGGUCCUGACCCUUGUCAACUGCCACCAGCAGAUGAAUUGGCCACAUUCCUCACCUGGGUAAAGUAGGAGUGGUGGCCUUGGUGGCAUGGUUACAAAAGAGCAGGCAGGCUGACAAACUCAGCUACCACCCAGGCCCAGAUCCAGGGUUUUGAGCUGGCCCACCCCAACAUCUGUGCCAUCCAGGAACACUGGGGCAUGUGAAGAGGAUGGUCCUAUAGAACCAAAGCUGCAGGAUCACCAUGACAUAGAGCAACAAUAAGAUAUCCAAGAGGAUUCCUGGUGAGGAUCCAGUGAAGCAGAAGCCAGAGGCCUGGACCAAUCCAAAGACUUACUGCAGUGAACAUUUGCAGGGGAGGUUGCAAGCGAAGAGGAUAGAUAUGGAGAAGUGGGAAGAUAAGUGAGAUUCGAGUGCAUUGAUUUGAAAUUCACAUAGAAUCAGUAAAAAAGUUUUUUAAAGCCAUUUAUCAAGAGAUAGAGUCAAAUGAUGUGAUUUUUAAGAACUACCUGAUGGCCGGAUGCUGGUGGCACAUGCCUUUAAUCCCAGCACUCGGGAGGUAGAGUCAGGCAGAUCCCUGUGAGCGUGAGGCCAGCUUGGUCUUCAAAGAGAGUUCCAGGACAGUCUCCAAACCUACAGAGAAACUCUGUUUCAAAAAACCAAAGCCAAAACAAAAAGACCCCAAAACAAACAAAAAGGCAAACAAACAAAAAGAACCAUCUGAUGACAUUCUGUGAAAUCUUCUUGUCCUGGGUGCCUGACUCCUGUGGUUUCCUUUUGCCACAGACCAGCUGGAAAGUGCCUCUUUCUUUCAGAGGUACCAGUGGAAAUGUACAAAGAACUUUCUUAAAUUUUAUCAUGAUAAAUAGCAGAAUUGUUUUUCAAAUGAGGAUUCACAUUUGAGUUGCGUGGGUAGAUAAAAUCAUUUACAAUCAAACCAAGCAUUGAUAACCUAAACCCCCAGUUUCCUAAAUUACUUUCAAAUUGUUGGGACUCUGUCAGCUUCUAGUUCCAUACAAAUUUCACUUCUGGAAAAGGGAAUGAGUGAUGGGAGAUGGAAAGAGAACAAGAAAAGAAAAAUGAGAAAGAAAUGUGAACAAGAUUGUGGCAUCAUAAAUUGCCCAUAAUGUAUCAAAAGCUUGGGCUGUUGUACAUUUAAAUUCAAAUC
rnacentral:lncRNA from 1 species